UACGGAGGGUGCGAGCGUUGUCCGGAAUCAUUGGGCGUAAAGGGCGCGUAGGUGGCGGGACAAGCGUGCGGUGAAAGCCUGGGGCUCAACCCCGGGUCGGCCGUGCGAACUGUUUUGCUUGAGCACUGUAGAGGCAGGCGGAAUUCCGGGUGUAGCGGUGGAAUGCGUAGAGAUCCGGAAGAACACCGGUGGCGAAGGCGGGUCUCUGGGCCGAUACUGACGCUGAGGAGCGAAAGCGUGGGGGAGCGAACAGG
rnacentral:rRNA from 1 species